ACCCUGACCAGGACAGAGGAGUGAGACAGGGAGUGAGACACAGUGAGGUGAGUCACCCUGACCAGGAGAGAGGAGUGAGACAGGGGAGUGAGACACAGUGAGGUGAGUCACCCUGACCAGGACAGAGGAGUGAGACAGGGAGUGAGACACAGUGAGGUUUUGAAAUUGCAGAUGACUGGAGUUUGUGGCAGUCUGACCUCCUGUGUGACAUCAUCGCUAGAGAGAUUCCGGCUCUCCGAUCAUUCCAUUGAGUUUCACUUGAACGUUCUGAGGGCAUUAAUUGACAUUUGAAUGUGCUACUUUACACCAGACCGGGUCAACCACACUCACAAUCACAGUGAGAUCUCCUUCUAUUACAAUGAUCAUUACAAUUAGUUACAGUUCUGGCUGCAGUAUUUCCAAUUCUAAUUAUAAUGACACUAAAAACUGACACAAAGAGCUCCUCAUAGUAUUGUACCAGCAGGACCCACAGGUACAGAGACACACACACACUGGAGAACUUUAUAUUGUUUUAAACAAGCAGGAACCACUGAAAGUGUUUGAAAACACAAGAAUAAUUAUCGAAUGAAAAAUAAAUCAGUUAUAUGUGUCAUUACAAUUACAUUUGAACUGCAGUUACAAUGCAUUACCAGUCACACAGUUACACUUAGAAUCACAAUGCAUUACCAAUCAAUCACACAGUUACAUUUAGAAUCACAAUGCAUUACCAAUCAAUCACACAGUUACACUUAGAAUCACAAUGCAUUACCAAUCACAUAGUUACACUUAGAAUCAAUGCAUUACCAAUCAAUCACACAGUUACACUUAGAAUCACAAUGCGUUACCAAUCAAUCACACAGUUACACUUAGAAUCACAAUGCGUUACCAAUCAAUCACACAGUUACACUUAGAAUCACAAUGCAUUACCAAUCAAUCACACAGUUACACUUAGAAUCACAAUGCAUUACCAAUCACACAGUUACACUUAGAAUCACAAUGCAUUACCAAUCAAUCACACAGUUACACUUAGAAUCACAAUGCAUUACCAAUCAAUCACACAGUUACACUUAGAAUCACAAUGCAUUACCAGUCACACAGUUACACUUAGAAUCACCAUGCAUUACCAAUCAAUCACACAGUUACACUUAGAAUCACAAUGCGUUACCAAUCAAUCACACAGUUACACUUAGAAUCACAAUGCGUUACCAAUCAAUCACACAGUUACACUUAGAAUCACAAUGCAUUACCAAUCAAUCACACAGUUACACUUAGAAUCACAAUGCAUUACCAGUCACACAGUUACACUUAGAAUCACCAUGCAUUACCAAUCAAUCACACAGUUACACUUAGAAUCACAAUGCGUUACCAAUCAAUCACACAGUUACACUUAGAAUCACAAUGCAUUACCAAUCAAUCACACAGUUACAAUGCAUUACCAAUCAAUCACACAGUUACACUUAGAAUCACAAUGCAUUACCAAUCACACAGUUACACUUAGAAUCACCAUGCAUUACCAAUCAAUCACACAGUUACACUUAGAAUCACAAUGCAUUACCAAUCAA